rnacentral:lncRNA from 1 species
GUACAAAAUAUCUGCCCUCCUACAUAUAUAUACAAUGCACUCAUGGGUCGGGUCGGGUGAUCCGGCCCAAAACUAAAUAAAUAUGGGCUCAGAUAUACACGGUCCAGCAGCAUUGAUGAUCAUAGCCCAUUACAGGUAUACCAUGAGUAUACAGUAAAUAUACAAUGAAUUACAAUGAUUUACAAUGAAUAUGUCACUUAUCCUUUGACUUGGAAGCCAUAUAAUCUGUCAUCUCAACAAAAAUAGAGAGGCUCUUUCUAGGAGACUCUCGGUUCAAGAGACCAACAAAAGAGGGGCAGAGCCAUUUAUCCUUUGGCUUGGACUCUCAUCUCAACGCCCUCCCUCAAGUUGGAGGGGGAGACCACCUGCAACUUGAACAACAAGGGAUGAAGCACAGUGCCAGGUAAAGACUUUGCCAGAAGGUCAGCCAGCUGACGAGUAGUAGGGACAUGAAGCAAGCGAAUGAAGCCAUUCUGGAGCUGAUCGCGCACAAAAUGACAAUCCACUUCAAUGUGUUUGGUCCGUUCAUGAAAAAAAGGAUUCUUAGCUAUAUGAAUAGCAGCCUGGCUGUCACAAGACACAGAAAAAGAAAGAGAAACAGAAACCCGAAGGUCUAGAAAUAAACGAGACAACCAAGACAAUUCUGCAACAACCUUACUGAGGGCCCUGUAUUCAGCUUCAGCAGAAGAUAAAGAAACCACUGGUUGUUUCUUUGACUUCCAACUAACCAGGCAACUACCCUGAAUAAUACAGAACCCAGUAACAGAUCUUCGUGUAUUAGGGCAUGCAGCCCAGUCAAUGUCAGAAUAACCAAUAACAGGGAAAACAUUUCUUCAGAAUAAAAGAGACCCAUAGAAGGGGUACCUUUAAGAUAUCUCAGCACAUGAAGGGCAGCAAUCAUAUGUGAAAGUCUGGGGCAUUUGAGAAACUGACUCAGAUGUUGCACAGCAAAACAGAUGUCAGGCCUAGUGCAGAAGACAAUUUGGCAUACCACUGUCUGGAUGCCUGUCUGAGCCCAUACAGGGAUUUGUUUAAUUUUCAAACAAGAGGUGUAGAGGCAGAGGAGGCAGAAACAGAGCCAGGAGCAGAAACAGUCAAACCUGGAGGGAGCUUCAUAUAGACCUCCUCAUCCAAAUCACCAUGUAGUUUACCAACAAGACUCCUAUACUGCUCAGGAGAAGGCAAAAGGUCACCAGAAUCAGCAUGUAGUUUUGCAUUAAUGUCCAAAGGACAAACAACAGAAGAGACAUUGACACAGUCAAACUGUUGCAGCAAAUCACCAUGUAAGAAAGCAUUAUUAACAUCUAGUUGAAAUAAAUUCCAAUGAUUUUUCACAGCCACAACAAUACGACACUUAAUACUGCACAUUUUAACCACAGAAGAGUGUCAGUGAAAUCAAUACCUUCAACUUGAGUAUCUCCUCUAAUUACAAGUCUAGCUUUAUACCUUUCAACAGAGCCAUCAGCUUUGUAUUUGAUUUUAUAAACCCAUUUACAACCAAUGAGUUUCUUACCAGGUGGAAGAGGAACAACAUCCCAAGUAUGGUUUGUGUCCAAAGCAUCAAACUCCUUUCUCAUGGCACCUCAAUUUCAUCACAAUCAUCCCAGUAAGAAUAAUAUCAUCCACAUAGACAGCUACAAUCACAAGGGACCCUCGUGUACCUUUGAUGAAUAGGGAAUAAUCAUUCAAAGAAUGUCUAUAGCCUCUGGAAUAUAGAGCAGAAGACAAUUUGGCAUACCACUGUCUGGAUGCCUGUCUGAGCCCAUACAGGGAUUUGUUUAAUUUUCAAACAAGAGGUGUAGAGGCAGAGGAGGCAGAAACAGAGCCAGGAGCAGAAACAGUCAAACCUGGAGGGAGCUUCAUAUAGACCUCCUCAUCCAAAUCACCAUGUAAGAAAGCAUUAUUAACAUCUAGGAGGAGAGGCUAAAACAGGAGGGGAGAUAUCGGGAUUAAAAAAAGGAGUUAAGCCAGAGUUAGCAGAGUUUGGAACAGUAUGAGGAGGUACUAACACAGAUGUAGGAGAAAGAGGAGAGGAGAUGGGAGUGGGAGAAUCAGGGUCAUCACAAUGUUCUACAGGUGGAACAAAAGGAAAGGAUAAAGCAGAAGGAUGAGCAGAAGAAGAUACAGUUUUAAAAGGAAAAGAGGAUUCAUGAAAUAUAACAUCCCUGGAAACCAAACAUUUCUUUGAAGAAAGAUCAUACAAUUUACAACCAUUCUUAGCAAAAGGAUAACCUAGGAAAACAUAAGGAAUGACUCUUGGUUUUAACUUGUCCCUUUGAGGGAUUGGUACAGUAGCAUAGGCAAGGCAUCCAAAUGUUCUCAAAUGUGAAUAGGUUGGAGCUUUCCCAUACAAAAUUUCAUGAGGAGAUUUAUUAUUGAGCAGAAGAAGAUACAGUUUUAAAAGGAAAAGAGGAUUCAUGAAAUAUAACAUCCCUGGAAACCAAACAUUUCUUUGAAGAAAGAUCAUACAAUUUACAACCAUUCUUAGCAAAAGGAUAACCUAGGAAAACAUAAGGAAUGACUCUUGGUUUUAACUUGUCCCUUUGAGGGAUUGGUACAGUAGCAUAGGCAAGGCAUCCAAAUGUUCUCAAAUGUGAAUAGAUUGGAGCUUUCCCAUUCAAAAUUUCAUGAGGGGAUUUAUUGUGAAGCAAUCUGGUUGGUAUUUUGUUAAGAAGGUAAGUGGCAGUCAACAAACAGUCCCCCCAAAAAGAUACAGGUAACCCAGAUUGGAAGAGUAAAGCUCUACAUGUUUCAAGGAGGGUUCUAUGCUUUCUCUCAACAACACCAUUCUGUUGAGGAGAAUGAGGUCAGGUGGUUUGAUGUAUGAUCCCUUGGCUACUAAAGAAAGAUACACCCUCAAUGCUAGACCCCAAUUCUAAAGCAUUGUCACUUCUAACAGUUUGAACCACAACACUAAAUUGGGUUUUAACCAAACACAGGAAUGACUGAAGCAAAGAAAAAGCAUUGCUUUUAGAUCCCAUUAAUCAGGUGGUUUGAUGUAUGAUCCUCUGAUUACUAAAGAAAGAAGUACCCUCAAUGCUAGAUCCCAAUUCUAAAGCAUUGUCACUUCUAACGGUUUGAACCACAGCAUUAAAUUAGGUUUUGACCAGAGAAAGGAAUGACUUAAGCAUAGAAAAAGCAUUGCUUUUGGAUCCCAUUAAGUGUGUCCAUGUUGCCCUAGAAAAAUCAUCAACAAUUGUAAGGACUUAAGCAUAGAAAAAGCAUUGCUUUUGGAUCCCAUUAAGUGUGUCCAUGUUGCCCUAGAAAAAUGAUCAACAAUUGUAAGGAAAUAUCUACAACCAGAAGAAGUUGGAGUAUGAUAAGGUCCCCAAGUGUCCACAUGAAUCAAUUGAAAGGGUCUACAGGUCUUAACAGAACUAUCAGGAAAGGGGAGUCUAGUCUGUCUUGCCAUAUGACAGACAGAACAUGGAAAAGGUUGCUUAGAAGCAAACGGAAAAGACAAACCAGAAAUAUGUCUCAUAUUUGUAAAUGGAGUAUGAGCAAGUCUUAAAUGCCAAAUGUAAUUCAUGUCAGUUGUAACAACAUUAUUNN